UACCGAUGAGGAAGAAUUCCCAAAAGAUAGGAAGUGCCGUAUGACACUUUACACAACAGCGUUUUA
rnacentral:snoRNA from 1 species